AGCGGCUCCGAGCGCCCCGUGGGUCCCUUCGUGCUGGGUGCCGCCGCUGGCAAUGGGAGAGGCGAGCCCGGCUGGGCCGUGUGGAGCUUUAAGUGUGCCGGGCCGUCUUCGGCUCUGCUCGCCGUGUAGGCGGGGAGUUCCAUACGGUGUCACGAAAUCACACAACGGAUUGGUUUGGAAGGGACUUCUGCUGAUUAUCCAGUUCAAGUCCUCUGCCAAGGCAGGGUCACCUGGAGCAGGUGGCACAGCAAGGCGUGCAGCAGCCCUGUGUAUAUGGACCCACAGAGGACAUUUUGAAGAAAAAAGAAAGCAGUCAGGAAAGAAGUUCAAUUAUUUAUGGUGAGCAGAUGGAUUUAUCAAGCCUGCCUGCUGAGACAGAGGCGUGGCUGUGCAAAUCAGCUGUGGAGACUGCUUUGCUUGGUUUUUCAAAAUAAUUCUUAAACGUUGGUUGAUAYCAUGUUGAUCGUCGCUCAGCAUGAAAGAUCACUUAUGAAUGGAGGGCACGAAGUGGUUUCCAUUGCUGCCAUCUCCUGGCGAAGUUAAUGAACUCCACGCGGCAAUAACAAAAGCACAUUAACAGGGAGGAGAAAUUAGACAAACUAAAAUUGCAUGCAAAUUUUCCUGAAAGCAGCUGGUAGAUGCCAGGAAAGCAUCUCAAAGUAUAAUACACACCAGAAGGACCAUUUCCAGCUGAAAAUUUCCAUGCUUCCUGAAACUGCCGUGUUCGUUGUUGUAGUACCGAUGUAACACCCAGAAUGAUAUUAGAAAAUGUAAGAAAAAAAUAUUAUAUUUCUCUGUGUUUUGGCAGGCAUUUGACAUAAUGACUCUGCAAUCAAUUUUAUGGUUUUGCUGAUGYAAUUUCUCUGCUCUUUCAGAGUGGGAAAAUAGAGAACAUUUUGGGGUUUAGGCAGGUAAGCACUUAAUGUUUUAACAAUGGAAAUUAUCCAUGAAAGUUCAAGGAGAGGCACAAGGUUAGAAUUGUUUGUUAAUUAACAUUUUUGGAACUGAUCACCUGACAAUGCCCCUAUAAUUGCUGUUGUUUAGUAACUAUGAAUUGCUGUUGUUUAGUAGUAUAUGAAAGAAAAAUUAUUAAAUCUCCUAGAGUUCUGUAAAGGCAAAAUAAGAAUUUCAGUCACCUGAGCAACAAAUAAAAAAAAAAUAAAGAAAUAAAUUUAGGUGCUAUUUUUGCUGCAUAUUCAACACAUUUCACUGCAAAAAAAUAGGCUCUUCUGUGCUCUGCACACAGAGCAGCUCCAUGAGGUGCACAGCCGAAUCCAGUGGGAAUCCAUCAUACAAAUAGGAAAUACAUUCAAUUUCUGCCCUCAUUUUCUGAACAAAAGCACAGUAUUUUGUUUGUAUUCCAUUCAUUCAUGACAAAUUUCAGAUUCUUUAGAGUUUUAUCAUUACUUUGGCUUGCUCAUGAGUUCCAAUUAAUUUUAAUGAUUUAAGGAUCAAAAAAACGCUCAGUAUUUCCUGACGUCACACCUUUAUACUUCAACUGCAAGCUCCACUAAUCCUCAGAAAUUCAUUAUGGGAAAGAUGGAGCACUUGAUAGCUUUUUGAUCUCUUCCACAAUCRUUACUUCAUUCAUCAGCCAGCCAGYUGGCUGUAUCAGCUCCCUUUGGAGUCCCUUUCCCUGACUAAGCAGUGCUGCCAUAAAACUGCAUUGUAUCCCCGUGCUCUGCCCUUCCUCCACAGAUGUUACUGUUUCAAUGGGCAUACACAGUCCCUUAGCAAAGCUAAAAUACUGCUCUGCCAAGUUCCUCUUGGCCAAGAUACUUCCUGAUGCUGAUUUUUUUAAGAGCUUGUGCGAACUAUGUACCUUUCCCACUCCAAGGACAGAAUAUCUUUGGUUUACUCUGGCUGGCAGCCUGCCCAUAUGGCAUCCAGGUUUCUGGGGUUCAGAAUGGUUUCCAUAUGAUCAGACUAAAUUAUUUUGGCAUCAAAAAUGGUUUGGCAGUGCACAGCACUCUCUGGAGCACAGUCAUUUAUGCUCAACAAAUAUUUUCAUCUAUAAAUGAAAGUCAACCCCAGAAAUGUAAAACCUAACCUUUUAGCAGGGCURUUUUCUUUGCAUUGUGAAGUCCUCAAUAAAAUGUUUUGUAGAAGCUCCAACCCUAUUCAAUGAACUAAGUCUUUUUAACCUGUAAAUCUCUGCUUUUUAAUCCCACUAUCAAUGGCCAUGUGAAAUACAACUGACUCUCAUGAAACUGCUCAAGAAUAACCAUGAUUCCAAUUUGGACUUACUUCAUAUGAUAUCACUGCUAUUCAGAAUAAGAUAACCAGGGCACUUCCCUUUGCUCUACUUAUGGCCUUCCUAGUUAAUGUGUCACACUAAGAAGGUGUGGACAAGAAAAAGAAUUAGCACUCAUUAGAGACAACUGUGACCUAAUGAAGAAUUCAUGGGGAAUGACAGGAUGAGCAGGGACUGCACAGGGAAUGCACUGUGACAGCCAUGGUGGUGAGCGGGUAUCUGGUGUGAUUCAAAGCUGCUUACAGCAGUGAACGUCAGACAUUGCAUUCUCAAAGAAUGGGUGAGAAUGCAUAGAAAACAUAAAAUAUUUAUGCUUUAUUUGUCUUUUCAUAACCACUAUAUAUGGCAGACAUACCUGUGGGAAAACUCCCCUCUGCUCUUUGUCAGAGGCAGAUGCCUGGGAGCAUUAGGAGGUGGAUCAGAGCCUGAACAAAGCAUUCAGUGAGCUGUGUGCAUUCAGUGAAUGCUGGAAGUGCACACACUUGAGUAUAGUGAAUCUUCAAGKGAGGGUCCAGAGCACUUUCCAAAAUGUUUCUGUGGCACUUACACUGCUCAGUAGUUUUAGCAUUUUCCCUCAGGAGGGAAACAGGAGACAGGCUCAGUGAACAACAGGCUCACCCUUCCCUGCAGGUAUUUCUUAUUAAGGGGGCAAAUGUUUUGCUGUUGAUGCUGUUMUACCUCUCCCCCAUCUAAAGAAGGGACCAGGACUGCCAUAUUUUCCAGCCCCGCAGUUUUCCCAGGCAUGCAGGAAUAUCAACACACAAGUUAAUUCCAAGUGGUUGUUCUAUGGACAAAGUUUAGUUCCUACAGCUCAUUUCAAAUGUCCCUGCACAUCCUCUCUCAUGUGUGAUCAUCCUGGUCACCUGCUCACCACCCCUGCAUUUGCUGUCAUGUAACACUGGCCAGAUUUCUGCUGUCUCCCUUACUCUUUCCCUCAUUUCUGUACAUCCUGUUUUCACUAAUUCCUCACUCUGGUGCUUCAUCUUCCUCUCAUGCCUCUAUAUUUUUGGCAGCUCGAGAGGCAACAUAUGCUCUGUCGGGUUCAGAGCUCCGUGUGUGCUGCCCAUCGUGCCAGCGCACACAUGCUGUUCACGCAGCAGAGCCGUGCCUCCUGCAGAGGAGAAGUGCUGAGCUACCCCUUCCUCUCCUCCUCAGGGACACUUCCUCAGCCCUUUAUACCAGUCACCUGCAUUUUUUUUUAUCCUUGUAGGAACUAAAUAUCUUUGAGGCUGCUACUUUUUUGGCAGAUUUGGUAAAAAUAGCCGUGUGGCUUCAGGAGUCUUUGUACAGUGGGAAGGCGGAUAGGAGGAGAGAUAGUCACUGCAAUUGUACUACUUCAGUUCCUUAGAAAUCAGAGCUAAAAAUUAAUUACGUUGGAAAACGGAUCAUAAGGAUAUGGACUCACUACCCUGUCUUUCUGUCCGCCUACCAGACCUCUUAUCUCCUAUCCUGACUUUAUAUCAUAAGAUCAUGA